GUGAAUCAAGUACAACAAUCAAACAACAUAAUAAUUUCCACAAAGAAAAUUUAAAAAAUAUAUUUAUGUUAUGUAGUCUUAUUUUAUAUUCUUUAAAUAAUAUAAUACAGUAUUAUACAUUAUAUUUUUUUAGAAUUGAGAAAUACAUAUAAUAUCUUAUCCGCGCGUAGCGCGGUUAAAAAAUCUAGUUCUACUAAAAUUUAGGCAUGACAUGUCAGAAGAUUUCUUGGGAAGUCUUCAAGAAGUCUUCUGUGAGUCUUCCAUACCCUUGAAUCAAAUAACUAAGCUAAAAAACACUUCCUUAAACUUAAAAGAUACUAAAAUAGUGUUUAAAUCUAGUUAUUAGAUAGUCACUAAACACAUAUAGGUCAAAAAAAAAAAAAAGAUAAGAUACCAACAAUACUACAACAUAUGUUACCAAACCCUAUACCAAAGACUAUUAUGACUCAACAUUCACUCAUCUAUGUUGAAAAUAAUUCAAGUUUAAUAAAAAUAAAUUUACAUAAUUUAUAAAUAUUUAUUAUUACAUGAUUUUCAAUUUUUUCCCAUCAAAAUAUUUUUUAUAAAAAAAAUUAAAUUCUAUUUAAGAAUUACUGAACGAGAAGACUUACAAAGAAGUCUUCUCACAUGGAGGGUUAUAAUGCUAAAAUUCAAUACAUGUUUUUUGUUUUUUCAUAAGGAGGUUGUUGUAAUUUCACUAGUCUACCUUUGCACGUUUGCAUUCAAAAUCAAGUUUUGAGUCAUUUUGACAAUUUUCCCUUAUUUUUAUGGAAAUGAAGAUUGGAAAAGGAAGAUGAAGCCGAAGGGAUUCUUGCAAGUUGUACAUAGUUAUAUAUAUAUAAUGUUAUAAAACAUUUUGAGCAAAAUUUGGUUGCAUAAGUUAUUCCUCUUUAUUCGCUUUGCCGACAUCGAAUGAUUUUGAUUCUGUCUAUUGAAGCUCUAAAAGAGAAUGUUAUGUUUUUUACUUCAGC
rnacentral:lncRNA from 1 species